rnacentral:rRNA from 1 species
CUCAACCGUGGAGGGUCAUUGGAAACUGGAGGACUUGAGUGCAGGAGAGGAAAGUGGAAUUCCACGUGUAGCGGUGAAAUGCGUAGAGAUGUGGAGGAACACCAGUGGCGAAGGCGACUUUCUGGCCUGUAACUGACGCUGAGGCGCGAAAGCGUGGGGAGCAAACAGGAUUAGAUACCCUGGUAGUCCACGCCGUAAACGAUGAGUGCUAGGUGUUAGGGGUUUCGAUACCCUUAGUGCCGCAGUUAACACAUUAAGCACUCCGCCUGGGGAGUACGGCCGCAAGGCUGAAACUCAAAGGAAUUGACGGGGGCCCGCACAAGCAGUGGAGCAUGUGGUUUAACUCGAAGCAACGCGAAGAACCUUACCAGGACUUGACAUCCCGCUGACCGGUAUAGAGAUAUACCUUUUCUUCGGAACAGC